ACCCAAGUCGAAAUAUCUAUGAAAACAGUCCACCCCCUACGAGACGACCACCACUACCACCAAAAGACAAACCAAAUGAGAAGCGGAGCAGCAGCCCUCAUCGUGACAGGCCUUAUUUUCAGAAAGUCUUCACUAAAAAACAUUUCACCUAGUACUCAAGGAUGUGUCUGCUGCUGAUACCUGGGCAUCAUAACCAGGAUUCAAACACGCAUUGCCAUGAAAUAUGAUCAUUUCUAACAACAAAGGAAGCUUCUAUCAUUCAUAUUUAAGAACUCACUGCCCAUUUUUGAGCAUGUGGAAGUUUUUUUUUUUUUUUCAGGGGGGACUUAUACAUUUUGUCAGAUUACAUAAACUCAAAUGUGUCCUUCUUGACAGUUAUCCUUUUUUUCCCCUAAGAUUAUAAAAUGCCCUUUGUUUGUAUAAUCUGUGUACAUGCAGUAUUAAAAUAACUUUUAACAUAUUUUCACUGUACCAACUUUUAACAUAUUUUCACUGUAACAACCAUUACAGUUAUCUUGUAUCUCAUCUCAUGUAUAUCUUGCAAAAAAACAACAAAAAGGGUAAUACUGUUAUUGUAUUUUUAUAAUCCCACACUUCUUAUGUUGGCAACAGUAAAGAUUAUACUGUACCAAUCAUCCAUAACAUUAAAAGCAUUGACACCACCCCUGAUUUUUUGUUUCACUUGUGCCACCAGAGGGGUUCUGGCCCCUCUAGGUUUAACGCCACAGUGCCACUGGGGGUGUGCUGUGUUGUCUGGUACCUUGACAUAGCAGCUGAUCCUUUGAGUACUGUGGGUUGCAGAAUGGGACAUCCCAUGGGUGCUCAAUUGGAUUGGGAUCUGCAAGUUUAGCCUCUUUGUGUGCUGAGCCCCAUGCACUGGGUGUUCUGACACUCAUGGUCAGCAAUGCUGUAUUUGUUUAAUUCUGCUGUAUUGUUUUUUUCUGUUUGAUCAGAUCAGAUGGGUUAGCCUUUGGUCCCUGUAAGCCCGAGUAAGCAUUGGUUGUCCAUGAUCCUGUCACCAGUUUACUAGAAGUUAAUGAUCAGUUUUGUUCAGUGUUGUUCAGCUCAUCUAGCAGUGAUGAUAAUGUUAUGGCUGAUCAGUGAAUAUACUGUAAAGCUUUAAACUUUUUUUUUUUUUGCAUGUUAUAUGCGGCUUAGGGCUUUCCUAUUCUCUUCAUUAAGAGAUGCAUGGUGAGUCAGAGCUGAGGUUAUAGCUUUAGUGAUGUGUAUCUAUCUUAGUAACCUUUGGACAUGGAUUCUCACACUGUAUAUUAUAUCGCAGUAUGCUGGUAAGUGAUCUACUAUGACUGGUAGAGAAAAGACUAUCUUGACAACAGCACUGAUAACAGCAAAAAUGGGUUGAGUUUACAGGAACAAUUCAAAGCUUUCCGGACACAUGACUGUGUAAUAAAUCUCCAGUAAAAUAAUAAAAUAUGUCAUAAAACA